rnacentral:lncRNA from 1 species
UCAUAGAAGUGCCUCACCAUCUAUAAUCCAUUAUCACCAUGUGUAAUGAUCCGAUAAAUCAUUUUGAAAAUUUGCACUUCACUCGGUUGUUUAAGGGUUUGAGUAACUCCUUAUGAAGUAUUAUGACUUAUGUGAAUCGUCGAUUUUGGUUUUCAAGUUAUUCGAAAUUGAUUUGGAAAAAUAAUUCUCACCUUGAAGCUUUAAAUUUGAAAAGUUUGAUCAAGUUUGACUUUUUAGUAUUUGACCUGGGAUUGGAUUUAUGAUGGUUCCUUAGCUCUGUUGGGUGAUUUUGGACUUAGGAGCGCGUCCGGAUUGUGAUUUGAAGUACGUUGUAGAAUUUGGCUUGAAAUGGCGAAAGUUAGAAUUUUUGCAAAAGUUUGACCGAAGUGGACUUUUUGAUAUCGGGGUCGAAUUCUGAUUCCGGAAGUUGCAACAGGUCCGUUAAUGUCAAAUAUGACUUGUGUGCAAAAUUUGAGGUCAAUCGGACAUGAUUUGUAGGUUUCAGCAUCGGUUGCAAAAGUUGAAGUUUUAAAGUUUAAUGAUUUCGAAUUGAGGUAUGAUUCGUCGUUUCAAUGUUGUUAUGUGAGUUUUGAGGGCUCGAGUAAGUCCAUGUUAUGUUAUAGGACUUGUUGGUAUGAUUGAACUGGGUUCGGAGGGGCUCGUGUGAGUUUCAUAUUGAUUUUAGUGCAUUUUAGAAAUUUUGGCUAAGGCGUAUCAUUGAUGGUUCUGGUGUUUCCGCAUCUACGGAAGUAUGGGCGCAGAUGCAGACAAUUGAUCGCAAAAGAGAGGUUUAGCGCAGAUGCGUGUUUGGAUUCACACCUACGAGUGCGCAAGAGCGAAAAUGGUUCAGCAGGUGGGAUGGGUUGCCUGAUGAGUUGUGGUCUCAGAAGCGAAGUGGUGAUCGCAGCUGCGGUGGUCGCAAGUGCGAUAUUUUGAUCGCAAAUACAGAAUAGCUGGGUAGUGUUAUAAAAAUCGAGGGUUUUGUUCUUUCUUCAUAUUUUGAGAUGUGGGACUUGUAUUGAGGCGAAUGUUGGAAUAAAUUUCGUCACAAGGAUUGGGGUAGGUGUUCUCUACUCAGCUUUAAUUAUAUCUUAUGAAUCCAUCUUCAUUUUUAGCUAUUGGUUGGUGAAUUUAAAGAGAAAAUUGGGGGGUUUUGGUCUAAUGUUUCAUGAUAUGAAUUUUUGAAUUUUGAACACCAAUUUAGAGUCGGAUUUGAGUGAAACUACUAUGGUUAGACUCGUAAAUGAUUGGGUUGUUGGUUUUUUUGAGUUUUGUUGAGUUUCGAGGUAUGAGCCCGGGUGUGAUUCUUGGCAAGAUUUGUGAUUUGACUUAGGAUUCAAUCUUUAUCAUUUGUAAUUGCUUCCUUGGGCUUUAUCUGAUGUAUUUGAGUUUCUUUUCUCUAGUGUUGAGCCGUUAGGAGGUCGCUACACGCGUGAUGCCAUUCUUGGAGCAUUACUUUUCUUGCUCGGUGUCAGAAUUGGCUUGUUUAAGAUAAGUAACUCUUCUAAACUUAGUGCUGAGAGUAUGAAACCCCAAAUUAUGUGCUAUGCGAUUGGUGUUGAGGUGAUGCACAUGCUAGGUGACGGGCAUAUGGGCGUGUACCCUGUGAGUUGUGACUCUGUUAUUUCUAGGGAACUGUUUAGUGGCCCACUUUAUUGAUAUUUGUAUUUUUCAUCAGGUGAUAAAGUAAUUGAGUUGUACAUCAUGCUAGAUAUCAUGUUUAGGCUUUAUGCUGAUAUUUGGGAGCCUUAGCGGUCGUUGCUUGCUGUCAUCUUAUUGAUUUCAUUGAUAUUUCAUACUCAGUCACAUUCAUGUAUUAAUAUCAUAUCUCAGUCUCAGUUUUUGCUUAUUGAUACAUCGUAUCAUUAUUCUGGGUCAGUUUUCAUGGCAUCGUGAGCCCAUGAGUGAGACUGGAGAGAAAGAUGACUGAGUAAGGCGGAGAGUCUGAUUAUGAGGGACAGUUAUGGAAUGACGCUGCAUGCCACAUCGAUUAUACUAAUGAUUAUGAUAGCUCUUGGGCUGAAGGAGCCCCUUCGGAGUUUGUAACGCACUCAUAGUGAGCGCAAAUGAUAUUACUGAGGGGUGAAUUUCCCUAGACAUGGAUUUGUCGGAAGUAUUUGAUAUUUGGAGAUGGAUUUCUCCACAGGGUUUGAUUGCCCUUUUUCCUUGGUACUGGGUGAUUUCUAGUUAGUAUUGUAUAUGUUCCGGGAUGGAUUUUCACGGGCCGCAUGUGCCAUAUACAGUACCGAGUGGUUGAGUAUGAUGAGUGAAAGGUGUGGUACAAUGAGGUUGAGUACUCUGAGAGUGUGAGUACAUGAUUCAUCUCAGAGAUACGUGGCAUUGGCAUGCAUAUAUGGCAUACAUGCAUAGGGACGCAUUUUUCUCAUACUGUACGGUAUCAAAUCAUGCAUUACUUUUUAUACACAUUGAUAUGUGGACAUAGAGUGGUGUUUCACAGUUGUUAUUUGGAAAGGAAAUGAAACAAUUUUAUUUACCGUGGAAAGAAUUUUUCAAGAAAAUUACAGUUUUCAAACUAUCUCAUAAUUUUUCGAUGAAUUCGAUAAAGGAUUUGGAUUUUCGUUGAUAUUCUAGAAAAGCGAAACUAUUUUCAAAAAACCGUGCAACAACUGAACAUUUUUAUCUAUGAGAUUAUCUCCUUGUUUAUAUGCUCUAUAUUUUAUGAGUUGUUGUUGGUUAUUGAUGUAGGACCCGAUCUAUGUUCCAGCUCGUCACUACUUUCAACCUGAGGUUAGUUUUGUUACUUUUUGAAUACAUAUGGUCGGUUGUACUCAUACUACACUUCCUGCAUAUUGCGUGCAGAUCCCGGAUGUCGAUGUUGCUGUGUGCGAGGGUUGCUGGAUUGAAGGCGUACCUGCGUUCCUACUAUAUCUACCUCUUGUUCACGGUAACCUUAGAUUUUAAAACUCUGUUUAUGUACUUUUCAAAUAGAAGAUGUAUUUUUUUCAUAUCAUCUUUGUAAACUCUAUUCUUAGAAGCUCAUAAUUUGUACUACCAGUCCUUGAAAAAUGUAAUAGAUCAAGAUAAUUUAUUUAUGUUUAAUUGAUUCAUUAACAUUAUUGAGGUUGGAUAGUUAUUAGUUGGCUUACUUAGCGGGUUGGUUUAAGUGUCAUCAUAACUAGUGUAUUUUGGAUCGUGACACCAUGUCGAAGGAUAAUAGUGAUGAGAAGUGAAAAAUGGAUGCAAUUGUGUGAGCAAAGGAAAGCAUCAUCUCAAAAUAUCCUCAAAGCUAAACAUUUCCCACCAAUAAUAUCAAUCAAAAAUGAGUUGAUACCCCUUUGGUGGGACUGACAAUUCGAGAACUUUCAGCACGGUUGACAAACAGUUUUCCGUGAGUUGAGUUCGUCUACUUUUUCCAAAAGUUUCAAAACUAGGAUCAACAACUUCAACAAAAUGUAGAUACUGACAUUAAAAGAAAAAUUAUUGUUAGAUCAUUAAAUUCUGUGUUUAAACUUCAAUUCUAUGCUCAGCUUGGCUCAUGUUCAUGUAAGGACACCCUCUUAGAUAACAAGCUGCAAGUCUGGCCUGCAUCAGAAUUUAACACAAAGGUUAAGAAGAUGGGCUGAGUAGUUUAGGUUAAUUAAAUUUAGUAAGACCUGAAAUGAACAGAAUUAGUUCAAAUUAGGAUGGUCUCUAUUAUGACCCCUACCUAUAAGCUUCAUCAAAAUAAUCCAAUAAAGAACCACAAUCAAUAUAUCUGUUCAAUGAAGCGGAGAGUGUCCAAUUGGUCUUCUUUUCCAAUUUUUCUGUAUUUAUGCUACUGUAUUUGAUUGUUGAUAUUACUUAUAAUACAAUGAUAAGUGGUAAGAAGAACAUUAAAACCAGUCAAACUAACCUUAUAAAAAGUUGAGAGAAAGAUUCGCCACUUGGUACUUGAUGUUAAGCUAGAAAUCCGUAUUUUAGUUGUAGUAUUACAUUGACUGCAUUUUUUUUGCGUUUGAACACAAAUGAUAGCGAAUUACAUUUUGUACGUGUUUUAUGCCUUGCAGAAAGUGAUACCGAGCUCAAAAGUUUAUUUGGAGGUAAAUUGAUCAAUUCAGAGCUUUGAAGUCUGAGUAAAAACCCAAUGCAUUAAACCGGGAUCGUGUUUGGAGGUCGUGUGCCAAGUCUGGAUAUUAAAAGAUGAUGAAAUAAGUUCACUUUGAGAAAAUUUCAUUGCCGCGACGCAUGAGGCACAAGGCGCGGUGCAGCAGUGUAAAAUGAUGCCG